rnacentral:rRNA from 1 species
GAUGAACGCUGGCGGCGUGCCUAAUACAUGCAAGUCGAGCGAACAGAUGAGGAGCUUGCUCCUCUGACGUUAUCGGCGGACGGGUGAGUAACACGUGGAUAACCUACCUAUAAGACUGGGAUAACUUCGGGAAACCGGAGCUAAUACCGGAUAAUAUAUUGAACCGCAUGGUUCAAUAGUGAAAGACGGUUUUGCUGUCACUUAUAGAUGGAUCCGCGCCGAAUUAGCUAGUUGGUAAGGUAACGGCUUAGCAAGGCAACGAUGCGUAGCCGACCUGAGAGGGUGAUCGGCCACACUGGAACUGAGACACGGUCCAGACUCCUACGGGAGGCAGCAGUAGGGAAUCUUACGCAAUGGGCGAAAGCCUGACGGAGCAACGCCGCGGGAGUGAUGAAGGUCUUCGGAUCGUAAAACUCUGUUAUUAGGGAAGAACAAAUGUGUAAGUAACUAUGCACGUCUUGACGGUACCUAAUCAGAAAGCCACGGCUAACUACGUG